GUGGGUAUAGCUCAGUGGUAAAGUGCAUGCCACACAUGCAUGAGGUCCUGUGUUCAAUCCGAGGUACCUCCA
rnacentral:tRNA from 1 species